CCUUAAUAGGUGCCAAGAUGGCGCUGCCUACGAUGUAGAACUCGGUUUUCCGGUAGGCUUAAAUUUGGGGAGAUGGUGAAUGAAAGGAAAGGGAGAAUUACAGCUUCAGCGCCGAGGAAGCAUUUUUAAACGCCCACCCCGCCACCGGUCCCGCCUCCUUGGAGUGAAAUCAUGAAGGUGGUGAACCUGAAGCAAGCCAUUUUACAAGCCUGGAAAGAGCGAUGGAGUGACUACCAGUGGGCAAUCAACAUGAAGAAAUUCUUUCCUAGAGGAGCCACCUGGGACAUUCUCAACCUAGCAGAAGCACUCCUGGAGCAGGCCAUGAUCGGACCUUCCCCCAACCCUCUCAUCCUCUCCUACCUGAAGUACUCCAUUAGUUCCCAGGUAAAUAUUCCCAUACCCCAGCCUUUUGGAGGUAAAACAUCUGGAGAACAGUUUUCAGUUUAUUUUCUUAUA